rnacentral:rRNA from 1 species
AAAGAACCUGAAACCGUGUACGUACAAGCAGUGGGAGCCCCACCACUAAGCCAGUGGUGAACUCCACAUACGCAUCCUUUGCUGAAGGUGCGGUUAACGGAGCGCAAGCGACGUUCAACCUCAAAAGAAGCAGAGGGGGCUUAGUGGUGGGGUGACUGCGUACCUUUUGUAUAAUGGGUCAGCGACUUAUAUUCUGUAGCAAGGUUAACCGCAUAGGGGAGCCGGAGGGAAACCGAGUCUUAAUUGGGCGUUAAGUUGCAGGGUAUAGACCCGAAACCCGGUGAUCUAGCCAUGGGCAGGUUGAAGGUUGGGUAACACUAACUGGAGGACCGAACCGACUAAUGUUGAAAAAUUAGCGGAUGACCUGUGGCUGGGGGUGAAAGGCCAAUCAAACCGGGAGAUAGCUGGUUCUCCCCGAAAGCUAUUUAGGUAGCGCCUCGUGAAUUCAUCUCCGGGGGUAGAGCACUGUUUCGGCUAGGGGGCCAUCCCGGCUUACCAACCCGAUGCAAACUGCGAAUACCGGAGAAUGUUAUCACGGGAGACACACGGCGGGUGCUAACGUCCGUCGUGAAGAGGGAAACAACCCAGACCGCCAGCUAAGGUCCCAAAGUCAUGGUUAAGUGGGAAACGAUGUGGGAAGGCCCAGACAGCCAGGAUGUUGGCUUAGAAGCAGCCAUCAUUUAAAGAAAGCGUAAUAGCUCACUGGUCGAGUCGGCCUGCGCGGAAGAUGUAACGGGGCUAAACCAUGCACCGAAGCUGCGGCAGCGACGCUGAUGCGUUGUUGGGUAGGGGAGCGUUCUGUAAGCCUGUGAAGGUGGCCUGUGAGGGUUGCUGGAGGUAUCAGAAGUGCGAAUGCUGACAUAAGUAACGAUAAAGCGGGUGAAAAGCCCGCUCGCCGGAAGACCAAGGGUUCCUGUCCAACGUUAAUCGGGGCAGGGUGAGUCGACCCCUAAGGCGAGGCCGAAAGGCGUAGUCGAUGGGAAACGGGUUAAUAUUCCCGUACUUGGUGUUACUGCGAAGGGGGGACGGAGAAGGCUAUGUUGGCCGGGCGACGGUUGUCCCGGUUUAAGCGUGUAGGUGUGUGUUCCAGGUAAAUCCGGUUCACUUUAACACUGAGGCGUGAUGACGAGGCACUACGGUGCUGAAGCAACAAAUGCCCUGCUUCCAGGAAAAGCCUCUAAGCAUCAGGUAACAUCAAAUCGUACCCCAAACCGACACAGGUGGUCAGGUAGAGAAUACCAAGGCGCUUGAGAGAACUCGGGUGAAGGAACUAGGCAAAAUGGUGCCGUAACUUCGGGAGAAGGCACGCUGACAC